UACCGCAGGGGGGGAAUGUUUGUGGUUGAACACAUAUCAUGUUUCUCAGUAGAAUGAUUGUUACAACAAUAACAGCUUGUUAUUAUAAAGCAUCUUCAACACAGCGAAGCACUCAGGGACAUUUCACAGGAGUACUAUCAGAAACAACUUUACACCAAGCUCCACAUGACUGACGGUCAGAAGGCUGUUCAGAGCAAUAGCUUCCGAUUGCCUUUGAGGAGGAAAGAAAGGAUUAAUGAGUGAAUUACAGAGCCUUGGGCCUUGGCCGUCGAAGGCAGGCCAGGGUCACCAGUGGAGAUUGGGAGCAUUUAAACGGCAGGUAGCAGAGAAGUUGAAACCUUCAAGUUCAGGACCAAUUUGCAUUUAUACCAAGCCAAUUAACCUACAAACCUGUACGUCUUUGGAGUGUGAGAGGAAACCGAAGAUCUUGAAAAAACCCACGUGGUCACGGGGAGAACAUACAAACUCCGUACAGACAGCACCCGCAUUCGGGAUCGAACCUGGGUCUGUGGCGCUGUGCGCCAACAACUCUACCACUGCACCACCAUGCCGCCCUAUAUAUGGAUUAUAGAUUACUUUUAUACUAAAUGUAAAGAGAAUAAAAUGAUAUUUACCUGCC